GUGCUCAUUUGGCAGCAGCACAUGUACUAAAAUUGGAACAAGCCAGAGAAGAUUAGCAUAACCCUUGUUCAAGAAUGACUCCCAAGUUUGUGAAGCAUUCCAUGUUUAU